UACGAAGGGGGCUAGCGUUGCUCGGAAUGACCGGGCGUAAAGGGCGCGUAGGCGGUUUGUACAGUCAGAUGUGAAAUUCCUGGGCUCAACCUGGGGGCUGCAUUUGAUACGUAUGGACUGGAGUGAGGAAGAGGGUCGUGGAAUUCCCAGUGUAGAGGUGAAAUUCGUAGAUAUUCGGAAGAACACCAGUGGCGAAGGCGACUUACUGGACACAUAUUGACGCUGAGGUGCGAAAAGCGUGGGGAGCAAACAGGG
rnacentral:rRNA from 1 species